CGCUCUCCAUUCUCGCUGUCCAUCAUUCACCUGCUUCGCCACACCACGUUUCACUUCCUCUCCAGCUCGCUGCAUGUGCCUGUUGUUCUUCGCCAUCCGUGUGCGUGCCCGUUGUGAUGGCGUGCCUGCGUGCGGUCGGUGCUGCUGGUUGAGCUGAAAUCCUCUCUGUGCUGUCUCCUGCGCCAACCGGUGCGCCAUUCUGCCGUCUGCAUUGAGGUUGUUCGUCUGCCAUUCCGCCUUCAUUUGCUGUCCUGGUUGUUGUUCUUAAUCCUGGUUUGAAGAGCUGCUCUGUUUCUGCAUCUUCACCUGCGACUUGCUACUGGUGCUGAAGGUUUUCUCUCCUUUUACACCGCAUGCGAUUUCUUUCUGACUCAAGAUAUAUUUAUUUUUCUACAUGCUGUUUUUUUACUGAUUGUUUUGUUGUGCCAGAUUUGUCUGGGGGUCGUGUUAUUUUUCAGUUUUGUGUGACUUUCGUUUCAUGUUUAUAUUUGGUGAUUGCGUGUGAGCAGGAUGUGUGCUCUUAUUUCGACCGUUAUACCUGUUUGGAAGCCGUGGUGGCUCGGUGUGCUUUGCCAGCGCUUUCGUACCUAUGUGAGAUCGCAGAGGAUGGGUUCAUUCUUGCUGGGGUAGAACUGGAACUUCCAGGGGAUGGUUCUGGUCCAGUUCCA